UCGCCUGUUUAUCAAAAACAUGGUUUCUUGUAAUUUUAAUUAAGAAAUUUGACCUGCCCACUGAAUAAAUAUUUUGAAGGGCCGCGGUAUUUUGACUGUGCAAAGGUAGCAUAAUCAUUAGUCUUUUAAUUAAGGGCUAGAAUGAAUGGUUGGACGAAAUAAAUUCUGUUUUAUAUAAAUUAUAAUUGAAUUUAGAUUUUAAGUAAGAAGACUUAAAUUUAAUUAAGGGACGAGAAGACCCUAUAGAAUUUGAUAUAGAUAAAAAAUAAUUAAUUAAGUUAAAUUUUAAUUUUUAAUUUUUAUUUAAUAUAUUUAAUUGGGGUGAUUAGAAGAUAAAUAAAACUCUUCUUUAAUUUUAAUAAUAUAAUUAGUUAUAUGAUCCAUAUUUAAUGAUUAAAAGAUUAAAUUACCUUAGGGAUAACAGUAUAAUUUUUUUUAAAAGUUCUUAUUGAAAAAAAAGAUUGUAACCUCGAUGUUGGAUUAAGAUUAAUAAUGGGUGCAGAUGUUCAUUAAUUAGGUCUGUUCGACCUUUAAAUUCUUACAUGAUCUGAGUUCAAACCGGAGA
rnacentral:rRNA from 1 species